AGAACCUUACCAGGUCUUGACAUCCUUUGACCACUCUAGAGAUAGAGCUUUCCCUCGGGGACAAAGUGACAGGUGGUGCAUGGUGUCGUCAGCUCGUGUCGUGAGAUGUUGGGUUAAGUCCCGCAACGAGCGCAACCCUUAUUGUUAGUUGCCAUCAUUAAGUUGGGCACUCUAGCGAGACUGCCGGUGACAAACCGGAGGAAGGUGGGGAUGACGUCAAAUCAUCAUGCCCCUUAUGACCUGGGCUACACACGUGCUACAAUGGACAGUACAAUGAGCAGCGACACGGCGACGUGAAGCGAAUCUCAUAAAGCUGUUCUCAGUUCGGAUUGUAGGCUGCAACUCGCCUACAUGAAGCCGGAAUCGCUAGUAAUCGCGGAUCAGCACGCCGCGGUGAAUACGUUCCCGGGCCUUGUACACACCGCCCGUCACACCACGAAAGUUUGUAACACCCGAAGUCGGUGAGGUAACCGCAAGGAGCCAACCGCCUAAGGUGGGAUAGAUGAUUGGGGUGAAGUCGUAACAAGGUAACCAAGGGCGAAUUCCAG
rnacentral:rRNA from 1 species